AUGGCUUGAAAUCGCCUGUGGUUUUCGAAAAAUUUGAUGAAAUGACUAUAUCCCUUGCCUUUGUGUUCAUAAAUUUACAAUCACUUAUUAUUCCGACGAGUAAUGUUAGUGGGCACAGGUAACGUAUAAAAGGAGAGCUUUCUCGGUCUCAAAUCACCCUUGAUUUUUCUUUUUCUUUUUUGUUAAUGAUUUGUCUCUUUCCUUUAUCUACCUGUUUUUGUCUGUAUCCUACUUGUUACAAUUUGUCUGGUCUUCCAUUUUUCUACCACAAAAAAAGAAAAAACUAAGAUUUUUUUCUUUUCAGAAUCGCACGAUUGGUGAGGACAAUUGCUACAUUAACCACUAAUCAAUCAUUCGGAAUAUAUGAGCCUUUUGUUUUUGUUUUAUAAUAAUAAAUAAUAGGUUACUGGUACUUUGGAUUCACUCUGAUUCUUUCUUUGUUUGUGUUUUUGUUUUAGACCCAAUAAAGCUAUCUUCAGCCACAACUUUUGUCACAAUUAAUCAUCUUUGGUUUUUAAUAUAAGCAAAACUAAUACAAGAUGGAGGAGAUGUCACCUGAUAAUAUACAUGGAGUCAUUUUAGCUGUGUCUUCCAGUAUAUUCAUCGGUUCUAGCUUCAUCAUCAAGAAAAAAGGUCUCAAGAAGGCUGGUGUAAGCGGACCCCGAGCAGGUGAAGGAGGUUAUGGAUACUUAUAUGAGCCUUGGUGGUGGGCUGGCAUGAUAACAAUGAUUGUUGGUGAGAUAGCAAACUUUGCAGCUUAUGCAUUUGCACCAGCUAUUCUAGUGACACCUUUGGGAGCUCUAAGUAUUAUUUUCAGCGCAGUGCUUGCACAUUUUAUUUUGCAAGAGAAGUUACAUAUGCUCGGUAUACUUGGCUGCGUCCUCUGUGUUGUUGGGUCUACAACGAUUGUUUUACAUGCUCCUCAUGAGCAAGACAUUGAAUCUGUCAAGCAAGUAUGGCACCUUGCCACUGAACCAGGUUUCCUUGCUUACUCUGCUGUGGUGUUGGUUGUGGUGCUUGUAUUAAUCUUCUACUACGAGCCUCGUUAUGGGAAGACGCAUAUGAUAGUAUAUGUUGGGAUUUGCUCUUUAAUGGGUUCCCUUACUGUUAUGAGUGUUAAAGCUGUGGCAAUCGCCAUUAAGCUGACUUUUUCAGGGAUGAAUCAGUUCAAGUACUUCCACGCAUGGAUCUUCAUUAUAGUAGUGACCAUAUGUUGCCUUUUGCAGAUCAACUACUUGAACAAAGCUCUGGAUAAUUUCAACACGGCCGUCAUAUCUCCAGUGUACUACGUUAUGUUUACAACAUUCACCAUCUUAGCUAGCAUGAUCAUGUUCAAGGACUGGGCUUCUCAGAGCGGACUGCAGAUUGCGACACAGCUAUGUGGCUUUGUGACCAUUUUAUCAGGAACGUUUCUUCUCCACAAGACAAAAGAUAUGGGAAAUAGUGCCAGCUUACGUGGCGCCACGUCCCAGUCCCCUAGAGAGACUCCUGUUUUCAUCAACUCAGCUUCCACUCGCAGUACUCAUUCCAAUCUUUAGCCUUCAACGAGGCAACACGGGAAACAAAAAGGUUAAACUCAAAGAGAGCUUUUAGGGGGAUUUGACUUGGAAAAAAAAAGAGCAACUGGGUUUUAAAGAUUCACCAAUAACAAUCUAUCAAAUUAUCUUCGGUGAUCAAAUCCGGCGAGAUUCAACGAUUCCGACGAGUUCUCCAGCGAGAUUCGAUGACGCUGACGAGUUUUACGGCGAGAUUUGAUGACGCCGACGUCCGGUGAGAUUUGACGAAGACUUCAAUCUCAAACGGACAGAACAAGACGAUCUCUUACCACGAACGCGUAACAAAGGUGAGAGGAUAAUUUUAGCUUGAUUUCUAAUAAUCGAUCAGUUUCUGGGAAGGAAGACGAAGCUUUUCUCAUGAGGUUUUAAAAAUCUCAAAUUUAUAAAACCUUAUAAAUAUUAUCAAUGAGGAACUUAGUGUUAUGUAUUAUCGUCUUUUGAUGUAUCUUGUUGAUCCUUCAAGCUUUGAGUAUUUUUGUGUUGAAUAUAUUUUUACUCAUACUAACUUAUAUUUCUUUUUUCUCCAAAUCUUUGUCCCGCGAUCAAAUUGGGAGUUGCUCCAAACGAAAUCACCACUGAACUUGCUAUCUCUGGCGAACUUGGCGAGAUGUAGACGCGAUCCGGCGAACAGAGGAAGAAGAUUAGCGAAGGUGUCAAGAUAAUUUGAGAAUGAAGCAUCGAAGAACGUGAUUUCUCUCUUCUACUUUUAUUUUUCAGAAAAUGAUUUGUUUAAUUAAUUUCAGGUUGAAAAUUUUCAAACAUGAUCUGUUUAUGUGAUGUU